GUUAAUGUAGCUUAANCCAUAAAGCAAAGCACUGAAAAUGCUUAGAUGGGUACUCAACCANUACCCCAUAAACA
rnacentral:tRNA from 1 species